rnacentral:tRNA from 1 species
GGGUGCUUAGCUCAGUUGCGAGCGCGGCGCCAUUAAAAGGCGUAGGUCGGCGGUUCGAACCCGUCAGCACCCACCA